rnacentral:rRNA from 1 species
GAUGAACGCUGGCGGCGUGCUUAACACAUGCAAGUCGAACGAAGCACUUCCGAUUGAGACUUCGGUGGAUUGAAAAAGUGACUGAGUGGCGGACGGGUGAGUAACGCGUGGGCAACCUGCCUUGUACAGGGGGACAACAGUUGGAAACGACUGCUAAUACCUCAUAAGCGCACAGCUUCGCAGGAAGCAGUGGGAAAAACUGAGGUGGUACAAGAUGGGCCCGCGUUGGAUUAGCUAGUUGGUGAGGUAACGGCUCACCAAGGCGACGAUCCAUAGCCGACCUGAGAGGGUGACCGGCCACAUUGGGACUGAGACACGGCCCAAACUCCUACGGGAGGCAGCAGUGGGGAAUAUUGCACAAUGGGCGCAAGCCUGAUGCAGCGACGCCGCGUGAGCGAAGAAGUAUUUCGGUAUGUAAAGCUCUAUCAGCAGGGAAGAAAAUGACGGUACCUGACUAAGAAGCUCCGGCUAAAUACGUGCCAGCCGCCGCGGUAAAAC